CUUCAAUAAAAUACUAUUAUUUACAUAGAAGAAUCACAAAUUAUGUGUUGCAGUCUUUGUUUUGUGUAAACCUUUGUUGACAUGUUCAAACAGUCUACAUAUCAGGGAUCAGGUCUGGUUAGGUUUCUGAAUGUGACAAACAACAGCCAGUAUAGGACAUGAAAUGUUUUCUAGUCAUUGUUAAUCAAAACACUGUGCUCUUCUGAUUAUAUCACUUGUGCAUUCCCCACUGAAAACCCAUUCUCCCUCUCUUUCUCACUCUCAUAUUAGAAAGUGCUGAUAUGGACAGAUUUGAAAGUACGCUGGGGUGUUUUCCAUCAGGUAGUCCUGUAGGCAGAGCCCAGAGCUGGUGGGCUGUCCCUCCUGAGUGUUACACUGCUGGGACCCCUUCAUCUCGUCCUGAGGAAACCCUCAGGACAGCCUGUGCUUGGACAGGCUAAGUGUUUGGAGUGCUUUAGGUCAUUUGCUGUCACUGUACCCUCCCAGUGGACGGGGGCGUGGUUAUGUGGUAAUAUUUUAAAAUCUGAUGACUGUGUCGGUCGUGCCAAUGGUGUAAUGAUAAGACAUGCUGCACGAUACACAUACACACUCACUCACUUGAGAGUCCCUGAGGGUCGCAGCACAGUGGCUCAGGGUGACAGGUGUGUGGCCGGAGUGAAGGAUACCACACUUUUCCUUUGGGAUUCUGGGUAAAAAUAACACCUCAGAGGUCCCAAAUCCCCAAAACUAGCAACAACAUAGCUGCACUGGUGAAGGCACCAAAGAGCCCCCAAAACCCAAGUUAGAUCUGACCACUGAACCCUGAACACACUUGCUAAUAUGGUUUGUGACACUUGAAAUUACACUAAAAUACAGCAAAAUAUUUUUUUAGUCUGAAUUCUAGUAUUCUAACCAUGUUCAGGAUAGUCAUACAAUGUUGGAAACUUCAUAAGCAAAUCUAUGAGACAUGACUGAACACCAAAUGGUUUGAGGAGAGUGUGUGACAAUAUAGGCAUGUAGUUAGCAACAUGGUAAAACUAAUAAGCACAUCUGAAACACCAAAUAUAUGUCGGAUUGACAACAUUUGGGGUAAAAUAGGAACAAAUAUUGGGUGAAAUCCUAAAGUUCAUGCCAGCAACUCUAAACAAGACACAGUUCUAUGGCAUGGGUCAAAUUCAUUCAAUAAACAUACAAUCAUAAUCA
rnacentral:lncRNA from 1 species